rnacentral:rRNA from 1 species
UACGAAGGGUGCAAGCGUUACUCGGAAUUACUGGGCGUAAAGCGUGCGUAGGUGGUUCGUUAAGUCUGAUGUGAAAGCCCUGGGCUCAACCUGGGAAUGGCAUUGGAAACUGGCGACCUAGAGUGCGGUAGAGGGUAGUGGAAUUCCCGGUGUAGCAGUGAAGUGCGUAGAGAUCGGGAGGAACAUCCGUGGCGAAGGCGACUACCUGGACCAGCACUGACACUGAGGCACGAAAGCGUGGGGAGCAAACAGGG